AAACAGAGUUUGAUCAAAUUGGAGGGUUGGGAAAGCCUGGUUACUGUAAUUUCUAGUGACAAGCGGUGUUGGGACGCCCCUCAAAAGGCAGAUGUUUUGGUCAGUGAAUUGCUUGGGUCCUUUGGUGACAAUGAACUAUCUCCUGAGUGUCUUGAUGGUGCUCAGAGAUUCUUGAAGCCUGAUGGGAUUUCCAUUCCUUCAUCGUAGUGGACCUUUUCUUAUACAUAUAUUUUCUUAAUUCCUGAUGUCAAAAAUAUGUUAAAUAAUAUCAUUUGUUUGAACUAAAUGAGGCCUUUGCCUCUCAGUUUGUCUAUUGCUGCAACAAGUUGGGGCUGGACCGUUCCAAAGUAAAUGUAAAUGGAGGCGUGAUUGCCCUUGGACACCCUCUAGGUGCA